rnacentral:rRNA from 1 species
CCUACGGGUGGCAGCAGUGAGGAAUAUUGGUCAAUGGACGAGAGUCUGAACCAGCCAAGUAGCGUGAAGGAUGACUGCCCUAUGGGUUGUAAACUUCUUUUAUAUGGGAAUAAAAUGUAGCACGUGUAGGAUUUUGUAUGUACCAUAUGAAUAAGGAUCGGCUAACUCCGUGCCAGCAGCCGCGGUAAUACGGAGGAUCCGAGCGUUAUCCGGAUUUAUUGGGUUUAAAGGGAGCGUAGGUGGAUUGUUAAGUCAGUUGUGAAAGUUUGCGGCUCAACCGUAAAAUUGCAGUUGAAACUGGCAGUCUUGAGUACAGUAGAGGUAGGCGGAAUUCGUGGUGUAGCGGUGAAAUGCUUAGAUAUCACGAAGAACUCCGAUUGCGAAGGCAGUUCACUGGACUGCAACUGACGCUGAGGCUCGAAAGUGUGGGUAUCAAACAGGAUUAGAUACCCGAGUAGUC